CCACGCCACCAGCCCCGCGGGCAGCUACCGCAGCUUCGCACCCCCGCCGCCGCCGCCUUCCUCCCGCCGCCGCCUCUUCUUCAUGACCCUGCCACACUGAGAGCUAAGUCUCCGCCGUACCUCGCUUCCCCGCCCUCGGGGGGGCGCCGGAACUGAUGACGCCAUCAGCCAGCGCCGCGGAAGGACGUCAGACGCACGGCUCCCGGAGCCAUGGUAACUGUCAAGCUACAGGGGCCCCAGCAAACCGGAAAUGGGACUGCGCGGCGAAGCGUUCCUCCGUCCCACCCCCGCCGCAGGAAUCCCUGCGAGUUACUGGCGGGGGCGCAGAGAGGGAGUCUUGCAAGCCGCUGGGCGCAAACCGUGAGGAGACCGGUGCAAUCAGGCGGCGCCCGCCUGCUCAGCCAGAGGAGCGUGGGACUCUUGAUCCGGGGGUCGUCUUGCAGAGUAGCGCCUGUUCACCAGCACAUCCCCAGAACUUAGAAACUCCAAAGAGAAAGACAAGGGCUUUUCAAAGUUUAAAUAACAAGGAUGAAAGCAUAGGAGAGAGAAGAGAUUCCUCUAAGACUGGAAAGAAAAUAGAGGUCUCUGGAUUCUGUGGGCUCCCUCCGGUACCCUGAGGGAGUGAACAGGACUUCAGAUGCUUUUAAAGAAGUUCAACAACUAGACAAAGGAACCCCCUACUGAAGAUGUCUCAGGAAUCCUGGAACCACCGACAGGACCACAGGGCUUUGAGGAAACCAGCGAGAACUCGCCCGCCAGAAAAACAUGAAGAAAUCCCAGGAAAUUAGCAAGG